rnacentral:rRNA from 1 species
AACGAACGCUGGCGGCAGGCUUAACACAUGCAAGUCGAACGGUUGUAGCAAUACAGCAGUGGCAGACGGGUGAGUAACACGUGGGAACCUUCCUAGGGGUACGGAACAACUCAGGGAAACUUGAGCUAAUACUGUAUACGUCCGUGAGGAGAAAGAUUUAUCGCCCUUAGACGGGCCCGCGUCGGAUUAGCUAGUUGGUGGGGUAACGGCCUACCAAGGCGACGAUCCGUAGCUGAUCUUAGAGGAGGAUCAGCCACACUGGGACUGAGACACGGCCCAGGCUCCUACGGGAGGCAGCAGUGGGGAAUCUUGGACAAUGGGCGCAAGCCUGAUCCAGCCAUGCCGCGUGAGUGAAGAAGGUCUUCGGAUUGUAAAGCUCUUUUGCCAGGGACGAUAAUGACGGUACCUGGAGAAUAAGCCCCGGCAAACUUCGUGCCAGCAGCCGCCGUAA